UGGGGAAUUUUGGACAAUGGGCGCAAGCCUGAUCCAGCAAUGCCGCGUGCAGGAUGAAGGCCUUCGGGUUGUAAACUGCUUUUGUACGGAACGAAAAAGCUCUCUCUAAUACAGGGGGUGAAUGACGGUACCGUAAGAAUAAGCACCGGCUAACUACGUGCCAGCAGCCGCGGUAAUACGUAGGGUGCAAGCGUUAAUCGGAAUUACUGGGCGUAAAGCGUGCGCAGGCGGUUAUGCAAGACAGGUGUGAAAUCCCCGGGCUCAACCUGGGAACUGCACUUGUGACUGCAUGACUAGAGUGCGUCAGAGGGAGGUGGAAUUCCGCGUGUAGCAGUGAAAUGCGUAGAGAUGCGUAGGAACACCGAUGGCGAAGGCAGCCUCCUGGGAUGACACUGACGCUCAUGCACGAAAGCGUGGGGAGCAAACA
rnacentral:rRNA from 1 species